rnacentral:lncRNA from 1 species
UGAGGUUGAUGUUGAUGUUAUAAUGAGUUUUAUAGGGACUUUCUUGAUGUAAAACUAUACAUUUUUUUUUUGUUUAAUAUGGUAUUUCCAUUUUAAUAUAAGUUACUACCAUUUUAAGAUAGAUGUACAUUUUAGGGAUUUUUGCAAAAUUGACCUAUAACUUAAAGUCAAACACAAAACUAACCUCCUUUUUUUUGAAAAUUGGUUUUGCCCUAUUCACCCCACAAGUUCAUAUAAUUUACGAAAAUGCCAUCCAUUUUUUUUUCUAUUUUUUUUUCGAAAAUGACAUUUUUACUCUCUCACCCUCAUCAUCUUCAAGUAAUUACAAGAUUGCCAUUGUCAUC